GUGCCAGCAGCCGCGGUAAUUCCAUGUCUCCAAUAGCGUAUAUUAAAGUUGUUGUGGUUAAAAAGCUCGUAGUUGAACCUUGGGCCUGGCUGGCCGGUCCGCCUCACCGCGUGCACUGGUCCGGCCGGGCCUUUCCCUCUGUGGAACCCCAUACCCUUCACUGGGCGUGGCGGGGAAACAGGACAUUUACUUUGAAAAAAUUAGAGUGCUCCAGGCAGGCCUAUGCUCGAAUACAUUAGCAUGGAAUAAUAAAAUAGGACGCGCGGUUCUAUUUUGUUGGUUUAUAGGACCGCCGUAAUGAUUAAUAGGGACAGUCGGGGGCAUCAGUAUUCAACUGUCAGAGGUGAAAUUCUUGGAUCAGUUGAAGACUAACUACUGCGAAAGCAUUUGCCAAGGAUGUUUUCAUUAAUCAGGAACGAAAGUUAGGGGAUCGAAGACGAUCAGAUACCGUCGUAGUCUUAACCAUAAACUAUGCCGACUAGGGAUCGGACGGUGUUAUUCAUGACCCGUUCGGCACCUUACGAGAAAUCAAAGUGCUUGGGCUCCAGGGGGAGUAUGGUCGCAAGGCUGAAACUUAAAGAAAUUGACGGAAGGGCACCACCAGGGGUGGAGCCUGCGGCUUAAUUUGACUCAACACGGGGAAACUCACCAGGUCCAGACACAAUAAGGAUUGACAGAUUGAGAGCUCUUUCUUGAUUUUGUGGGUGGUGAUGCAUGACCGUUCUUAGUUGGUGGGGUGACUUGUCUGCUUAAUUGCGAUAACGAACGAGACCUUAACCUGCUAAAUAGCCCGCAUCGCUCCGGCAGUGCGCUGGCUUCUUAGAGGGACUUCGGCUCAAGCGAGGAGUUUGAGCAUAACAGGUCUGUGAUGCCUAGAUGUUCUGGCCGCACGGCGCGCUAACUGACGGGGUCAGCGAG
rnacentral:rRNA from 1 species